rnacentral:tRNA from 1 species
UAGAAGGGUGGCCGAAAUUAGGUGUUAGUCUCUUAAAUUAAUUAUGAGUAGAAUAGUUAAAUUAAUAUUAA